UACGUAGGGUGCGAGCGUUAAUCGGAAUUACUGGGCGUAAAGAGCUCGUAGGUGGUUUGUCGCGUUGUUCGUGAAAACUCACAGCUUAACUGUGGGCGUGCGGGCGAUACGGGCAGACUGGAGUACUGCAGGGGAGACUGGAAUUCCUGGUGUAGCGGUGGAAUGCGCAGAUAUCAGGAGGAACACCGGUGGCGAAGGCGGGUCUCUGGGCCAUUACUGACACUGGAGAAGCGAAAGCAUGGGGAGCGAACAGG
rnacentral:rRNA from 1 species